rnacentral:rRNA from 1 species
GUGGGGAAUUUUGGACAAUGGGCGAAAGCCUGAUCCAGCCAUGCCGCGUGCAGGAUGAAGGCCUUCGGGUUGUAAACUGCUUUUGUACGGAACGAAAAGACUCCUUCUAAUAAAGGGGGUCCAUGACGGUACCGUAAGAAUAAACACCGGCUAACUACGUGCCAGCAGCCGCGGUAAUACGUAGGGUGCAAGCGUUAAUCGGAAUUACUGGGCGUAAAGCGUGCGCAGGCGGUUAUAUAAGACAGAUGUGAAAUCCCCGGGCUCAACCUGGGAACUGCAGUUGUGACUGUAUAGCUAGAGUACGGUAGAGGGGGAUGGAAUUCCGCGUGUAGCAGUGAAAUGCGUAGAUAUGCGGAGGAACACCGAUGGCGAAGGCAAUCCCCUGGACCUGUACUGACGCUCAUGCACGAAAGCGUGGGGAGCAAACAGGAUUAGAAACCCGGGUAGUCC